GCUUGACAUGUUGAACACCACUGAACUAUUUUUGACAUGAAUUGUCCAGAGUCGAUUGACCUAAACCAGACACAUUUGAGAUCAUAUCCUGAAAAAAUGGUUUCACAUUGAACUCGGCUAUUAAAAGGGUCAGUUUGGGUAAGUCAAAUCAGUUUUCUAGCCUGAACAUAACUUGUUAUUGAUUGGGUUAAUCAUGUAAACCUAUUUAUGGCCUAGCACAUCUAAGCUCAUAUCAGACCUGCUAAAUCCAUGUUAGAUUGGCAUGUCAGUCCAAAAAUUUUAUCAGAAUAAAAAGAGGGCAUUCCAAACUGCUUAGAAAAUGAUCGAGCAAGGAUGAGCACAUUGAGCAAUGCUAUUUUAGUUCAUGUACAUUCUAAGGUGACUUGUAUUUUAACAUCAUUCACCUAUCAGUGGUAACAUGAGUAAUCUGAAAAAGUCUGAUCAAUAUGAACCAGCACGCAAAUGCAAGUCCAUCUUUGGAGAGUUAUGAUGAUGUAGUAUCAAGGGUGAUUAAGGACUCGGUGCUUGCUUUCUUCUUUGUUUUUUUAUCAUGUUCCUAGAAAACUGACUGCAUGGUGAAUCUGAACAAGUUCUUGGCCACUGAACUAGUGAUGGAAUUGAAGGUCUGUUAGUCAUUAGUUUAUAUGCAUAAUGCUCUAAGCUCUUCUUUUUUAAUCAUAGGCAUUCAGGUGCGAGAGAAUACAAAUGAUGGUGCAAAUGGUGGUCAGGUUAGGAGCUCUUUCAUAUGCUUUAUAGUUUCAACUAUAAAUUAUGUUAUUAUCAAAUCUUUUAGUUUGGAACUUCUUUUGUACGUUCUUUCAUACCUCAGUAAUCAGUUACUGCUGAUAUUUUUUGUUCAUCGAAUACCAUUAGCUAUGAAGCUCUAGUUGUGUUGUUUGUCCACAAAUUUGGAUUUCUGUAAUUCAGUCAAGACAUCUUGGAUCAAGUCUCACAUACUCUGGAAGCCCAUUCCAGCUGAGAAUCAAGAUUCAUUUCUGUUCAUUAAUUAGUUUCAUCAGGGUUGUCAGUAAAAAGGUUAUAAUUGCCAACUACCAUGCUAUCAAAGUAUAUAUUAAUUUUCGUUAUUACUGUUGCUUGUUGGUUAUUCAUUUGCUAUGCAAUUGAGAUAGAACUGGAUGAUUACUAAAUUUUGCAUUUGUUUUAUAAAUAUUGAUGGAACGUCUAAAAAUAUGAGUAUUUGUUGAUUGUUGCAACUAGCUUAUGACAUCAGAUUAUUGCUUUUCCGAUCAUCAUGAAAUAGAUAAUCUGAAUUCGGCUUAUAUGUUGCUACGAUAAACUUUCCUCAUUGUCGAUUGGCUGGUUGUACCCAAUUAAGCUAAUUCCUUCCACAAAACCUGGAAGUAUGAUCCUUAGGAUUAGGUGGUAACUUAUCACUGCCUCACACUUCUGAACCCACCUUUGUAUAUCCAGUGUUUCGCUGAUUUCAGUGCAGAAGAGCCAACAUCAUUUUAUUUAUUUUUAAUUAUUGUUUUUGUUAGCAUACCUAGAGAAUCAACGUCUUUAAUCAUAGAUUUAGGCUCUGUUUACAGAGUCUUAUCAGCACACAACGAAUUUGAUCUGCAGGACAUCAAAUAAGUAGAUGCCUUUCAGAUUAAAAUUAAAAAGCAGCAUCUAAUGAGGAAACUUUCACUGUACUAGUUUCUUCUUGCUAAAUUAGAUUAUCACCCAACCUGGCACAAUAUUUUUAAUCCUUAAAUCUCAUGCUCAAGAUCAUUAUAUAUGAAACCAAAAUUUGAUUAUCGAGAAGAAAAGACAAGUUGGUUAUAAGAGCAAAAACUGCCUGUAGGACUGUAUCCUAUAGCCUUAAUUUAGAAAAUUUUUGAUAUGACUAUUGAUAAUGUUAAUAUCCAACUUCUGAUGUUAUGACUUUAGAUGUGUAUUUCUUAGUCGUUGGAAUGGAGGUAGUCAACAACAUCCUAUCAAUCUAUUAAGAUGAAGUACAAAGCACUGGAGAAUUAUCUACAAGGUUCAAUUUCAUCUCCUCUGAAACAAAUUUUAUCCUAAUUAUCUUUCUGGGAGCAUACUGUGAUUAAUGACAUCAUGGCGACAAUGCAUGAGACAUCAAAGCUUAAAAGAGAGCUGAAAGACAUGAUUGAGCUUCAGAGAGUUCAUUUAGGUUGUGCAGUACAAUUGCAACAGUAUGUCACCUGGAGAAUUUACACUGUACUGAUGGCAUGCGGGCACAUCUUUAUGAGAAAUUUGAUUUGUGCUAGCAUGUGUUACUGGUGCUGCAUGUGGUGAAUAUUAGAACCUUGCGGGAGAUAUAUGUGCUAGUUUCACAAGGAACACAUCUUCCUUGUUGACUGUCGUUAAAGAACACUCAUCAUAGUUUUCCACUAUAGAGAACUAGAAAAUGAAGGCUGAUAAUGCUGCUGCUUUCUUUAUUCUUGCAUCAAUGUUCUGUAAGAUUUGCAAAUAUAUUUUCUCAUUGCUUUCGCUUGGCUUAGUAUAUAUUCAGUUAUUCUCAUGAUUUUAAGCACAACUUUGUUUUCAUUUGUUAAAUAAGGGGAUUGUUUUGUACUCCUUUUUCAUAGCUUUACUUGUGCACUUUAACUGAUUAAUCCUAUUCUUUUGUGGUUGCAGGCUGUUUGGCAGGACAACAUAGACCCAGACAACAUGACAUAUGAGGUUUUCCAUUGAUCUCAUCAAUUUUUUCUAAUGUCUUAUAUUCCUUUAUGAACAUAUUAGAUCUUGGUAUUCACUUAUGUGAUUUAUCAAGAUAAUAAUUUUCUGAUGAAUGAAUGUUCACCAAACAACUAAUGACAAGUUUACAUUGACAUUUUACAUAUGUUCUAUGUUUUUUGGUUUAAAUAUUAUGUGGAGGGAUUAUCAGAGCAAUGCUUGCAGGAAGGACUGUCUUCAGAUGAUAGAUGACACCACAAUUUAGUCCCAUAUCAGAUAGGAAGGAGAUUUAAAUUGAUCUAUAAAGCUAGACUGGACUAAUCCUGUUAAUAACACCAUAAAAGCGAAUUCUAUUUGCUGAUCUAAUCACUUGUCACUCCCACAUGACAGUUGUAAAGGACAUUCACGACUUUAAUAUUGACUAAUAUUUUAGUUACCAUCCAAGCCAAUCAUCCAGCUGGAGAAUCUAAUUUAUAUGUAGGCAUCUGAUAUUUCUACCAUUUAUGAUAGAUUAUGCAUUUUCAAUUUUAAUGGUAUUCUGGAGGUGUAAGAAUGGCCAAAUAUUAAAUUUGCCUAGUAGUUUACACUAAUGUUCUUUAUAUUUCAAUCUUGUGUUAGUUUGCAUUUGCAAGAGACCUUUAUAGUCAUUCUUCAAUAAUUUGGAAGAGCUCUUGUAAUGCCUAUAUGUUGGACGAGUACAUGUAGUAUCUCAAACUAUCAGGAUCUACAUGUCCAUCUCUCAUUUCAACCAGUCCUGUUACUGCAUGUACAUAUCAUUAUAGUUGAACUUGCAUGCACACUAAUAUUCAGGACACAGAUUUGGUCAUUAUUGAAAACAGGAGCACCAUUUAGAAUGAAUAAGAUAUUUUACAGAAUUAUUAUUAAUGCAAGUAAUAAUGGGUAGAGGAAAAUAAUUGUUCCUCUUGGUACACUAUAAGGCCUGUUAUUUGCUCUCAGAGCAUAAUAGUGUUUCAUAUUUAUUGGUAUUGUUUGUACUUUUCUCAAAGUUUUUGCCAUUCUCAUCCGGCAUCAGUAAUUUUCCUUUGGAGUAUGCUUUUCACAUUGGCAUAUCAAUUUAAACUUUGGAAUUUAGCAUGCAAUAACCUGUUGGUCACUCUUCAAGUUCUUUUUAUUCCCCUUGAUUAAAAUAUCUGAACAUUUUUAUCAAUUAUCAAAAUAAUAAACAGGAGUUACUUGAUUUGGGUGAGGCAGUUGGAACACAGAGCCAUGGUCUUUCUCAAGAACAAAUUUAUUCACUUCCUGUCUCAAAGUACAAGUGUGGCUUCUUUUCUAGGAAAAAAUCUCAGGGGGAGAGGUAAAGUUCUGGUUCUUAUGUUUGUUUAGAUGAUGAAGAUUCUUGUCUUUGUUUGCUACACAUGAAAAAAAAAAAAAAAAAAGAGCCUCGAACUCCCAUAUGAUUCCUGAUUUAUAUAUGUAGUUUAAUGGACAGAUUCAAAUACCGAUUGUAUAUGGUGAGUAAUGACUGGUAUUUACUGGUCCAACCAAGGAGCAGUAUCGGACUCAAGUAUCGGACCAUAUGGUUCAUACCAUAUUAUUUUUGUUAUUUUUGUGGACACUGGAUGGUACGAGUUGAUAUACUACCCGGUAUACUGUUAUUGUACCAGUCUGUUAGAUUACCGAAACUGGCAUUGGACCCCAAGUUAAAUCCUUGGUUUAAUGUGAUUCACCUCAUAUCUCCUAUUGCAUUGGUUCACAUUUAUUGGAUUUAAAAUCUUUUAGCAAUUUUUUUGCUAGGAAUAAUCCCAGCCUGCAAUGCUGGUAUUGCAUUUGGAACAAUCUUAAUUUUGACGUGGUUGAUGUUUUGGAACAUUUAAAGUAGUUUUUUUUGGGGGGGGGGGAGGAAUGAACAAAGGAAACAUAAUGAUAGUGCCUGAUCUUUUGUGUUGGAUUUGCAACUUGUUGAUUCACUGUGAGCCCACUAAUGCUGCAUUCAUCAGUCCAGACUCCACACCUCAUUACCAUUAUAGAUUGCAUUGUUUGGUAAAAGCAACAACUGGAAGCAUAUAAAGGGUACUAAUGCUUGUAUGAGUAGCAUCUGGUUGUAAGCAUAUAAAGGGUAUUAAUGCCAAGCUUUUACUCUGAAGAUCAUGGUGUUUUGCAAUGUACCAUGCUUCUUUUGUUGUUACCACCAGAUCAUGUCUCUCAAACCAAAUAUUCUUUCUAGCACUCGUUUAAAUGGAGCAGAAUGUUGAUUUGUAUGAACACGUAUAAAGAUGGAUUUAAGUGAUAGGAUCAGCCUUCCCCUUGUAACAUAACCUACACACGAAGAUUACCAAGCCAUCUGUAAUUCGUCUUUGGUUUUGGUUAACUACGACUCUUUACAUUUAUUCUUGAAGUGGACCAAAUUUUUAUAUGAAAUAUCUACCAUUAACUUCAUUUGAAAUUUCUGAAAGUCCUAAAAUUACUUUAUAUGUGCCAGAUGCAUCAUUUGCCAGAUGAACUACAAGAGAGGGGAUAGACAAAUUACUCUUCCAUGCAAGCAUGUCUAUCAUGCUAAUUGCGUGACACAGUGGCUUAGCAUAAACAAGGUUAGCAAGGAUUUCACUUUGUCAGUUAAUACAACUUUGUGUAUCUCCCGGGUGUAACCGAUCAGAUAUUUUCUUCUUGUAGGCAUGUCCAGUUUGCUUGGUGGAGGUCUCAGUUGAGGAGCCUAGGCGUCAAUGAAUUCUAGUCGGCGACUUGCACGGAAGUUUUUGGCUAUUUUCAUCACUUAAAAUUGCAUCUCUUUUUCUGUUUUUUUGCUUCCCUUUUCUAUUUCAUCUUCAUGUUUGCAAACAUGGAACUGGACCAGUUACACUGUUCUCCUUCUGUCUGGUGUGGCGCAAGGAUCAUGGUAGGUUAUGAUCAAGUAAAUGCAUUUAGGCCCAUGUUAAUUGGAUUCUGUUUGGCCCUAAAAGAUUCUGCUGCUUUAGUUAUGUGUUAUCUUUUUACUAGGAUAUGUCCUUCAUUUGAUCUCUGAAGACAGAGUUCCUCAGUUCUUGCUCCUAAGGAUUUCAUGCUUUACAGCUUUUGCAGACCACCCACUUGGCAAUCCAUCUGAUGAGUAAAGGAAGUUAAAGAUUCCUGAAUUCAUUUCCAGAGAAUGCAUGACGGAGGAGUCGUCAUGACGAUAAAGUUCUAACAAGCAGAUGUCCAUCUGCCCUAAUAUUUUGUGGUAUCAAUUCAUAAUAUCAAUCUUGUGUGUUGAAUUGUCCAUCUCAUUGUUGAUCUGUAGCUCCAGAGUCAGAUUGGUCUUGGAGAUAAAUCCGAGGUGCCAAAUUUCUUGCCAAGACAAACACUGCAUUAUCUAUGACUGUAGUUGGCACCCAUCUCAUAUUGUUUGCGUGUGUUUUUAGUUUUUUUUAUUAUUGAAGUCAAGUCAAGCUACAAUUGACUCUGCUGGUUUAGACCCAGUAAUCCUUGUCCUGAAUCCAAGCCUACCUGAUUGAUUGUGUGCUGACACAAAUUUAUUUGAUUCGGACAAUUUGUUACAGGGUUUCCAUCCAUCUUGACAAGAUCAGAAGCAGCAGAUGAUGCCUCUCGAAUUCAGGUUGUAGGUAAACUGUGAUGCCACAGCUAAAGAAUGUUUGAGACUUCCUAUUUCCUAUCAUUUUGUCUCCCAAUUUAGCUUCAUUCUUGUAGUAUCUAUUUCCUAUCAUGUUUACACCAGCAAAACACGGCAUAUUUCAGAGGAGAAAAACAAGCAAAUAUAUCCAUGUUAAUAAAAAUCCUGAAGAAAUAAAAGACAUGUAAUAACAUUAAAGGAGGUUGUUUCAUAAGCUUUCUCAAGAUUCAUGCUAAUGAUAACACAUAUCCUAGAUUUAAUAAUUAAUUGCGACCACAUCCAUAGUCAUGAAAUCAAGAAGCAGUAGGAAACCAACAUGGGUUCUAUGUGACAGUAGCAUUGCAAUAUUAGUUUUGCCUACCAAUUUGUUCUCCAAGAUUUCAAAAGCAAGGCUGCCUUGAUUUCACAUACCAGAGAUAGAAUGACAUGGAAGAAGUUUUGAUAUAGUCUCCAUGCCAAAAACCCCUUCUCAAGUAACUUUUUGCUUUGGACCAUUGGAACAGAGGGAAGUGCAUUUCCAUGACUCAUCUGAAUGACAGCAUACUACUAGUAAGAGUGAAACUGCAUCUUCCACAAUUGCCUACAUUUGAAUGACAAGAACAGCUGUAGAUUAAACAUAAAGGUUUAGAUUAAAAAAAAGUAUGAGCAUAUAUUACCAGUCACAACUGAAGGUCCAACAUGGUUGCUAUUUUUGAUGGACUGGCUAGGUGUUUCAAUGCUGCGACGAUUGUUUACUCUUUCCUUGCUCGGUUCCGUGCAGCUCUGGCCGUGGUUGAAUGCUCGGAUUGAGAAAAACGGAUAAAAAUGUGCAUAAUCAUAGUUACCAUUAAUAACGCUGCUGUGGUGAGUGCAACUCCUUUCCAUGUUGACAAGAGUUCAGUCCAUUUGAAGAAUCUGAAGGUAGCAUAUGAUAGGAGACUAAACCAAAAUGCCACGACCUGUUCGACUCAAGUUAAAUUAUCAAGAAAGGCAAAAGUGAGAUCCAGAAUGAGUCAUCUAAUAGCAAACUCAGUAGGAAUACUAGCAUCUUUAGAGAACAAAUUUAUCACCUCAAUUAAACAAUCCAUUCAUUUUGUGCAAAGAUGAUUUCCAUUGUCCAGUUUCUUUAAUCAGACAAAGUUCAGAGCAAAUAGAGAAGGAAAAAAACCUGGAAUCAUAUCAUAUCAUGAUAUUUGCAAUCUUAGACUCAAAUGCACAGUCCAUAUCAUAUCAUGACAUCUGCAAUAUUCGACUAGAACGUAAAGCCUUGGAAUCGUGAGCUUCUCAUAAGCAAAAGCAUUUUCAGCUACCUCAUUAUUCUCCUAGGUCAUAAACUAUCUAGACUAAUACACCACAAGAGAGCUGCCUCAUCGAACAAAGUUUCAACUUGGAAAAAAACAAAGUUGGAUAGAGCCUCAAUUUAAUCAUUAUAUGAUUUUUUUGAUAAUCCACUCGUGAAGAAAGUCCUGUUAUUCUUCAGAUAUAAAAUGGGACAGAGAUGAGAAAAACAUAUCUACCAUCAUAAUAUUAGAAGACAAUUGGGAUCCAUCUAAAACUCUAUGCUGACAUUUGCAGCUUCUUGGCUUUCUAUCAACAGAGGCAUUGUACAAAGACAUACAAUGCAACCCGAGAAAGCUGCUUUCUACUUGCUGAGGAGAGUUUCACCUUAGAGUGAAACAAUUUGACAAACACAUUAUGAUGUUGCAAGUUUACAAUGUUAACGGUCUUAUCUUGUACCAAAUAUUUUUUUUCUUUAUAUAACUUGUUUUAUUUAUACUGCCAAGAUGAGUAAUAUAUUACCAGCAAAGACUUCAUAGGCCGACCAAUUUGUCUUUGUUCAAUGCCAAAAGUACCCUCUGAUUGGUAUCUAUCCAGUAAAGCAUCCUGCCAGAGAAAUAAGUUCAAUGAUACAAUGAAAGGAACACAGAUAAGAAUCGUAAAGCAGCAGGACAUCAUUGCACAAAAGUGAAACCAAGAAUAUGUGACUAAAUUGCACAAUUUUAAUCACCUAAUAGAAACAAAAGAUCCUCAGAACUCUCGUAAAGCAUUGUGAGAAAGAAUACAUGCCUUAGCCACAAAUAUGUCUUUACACCACUGUGCCACUCCCUCAUCUGUUUCAGGCAGAUCGGUCAUUGCAUGGCGCUUCAUGUGGACAUAUACCUGCAAUCACAUAAGUCUUAGACAAGAACAAACUUGAAAACAGAUUUUGUUAUUACAUGAUACCAGUCCCUUAUUUUUCUGUUUUUAAUAAAUCAUUGAUAGAUCUUAAUAGCUUUCUCUCUCACCUCUUCCCCUAGCCUCCUCCUCUUCCUUCGCCAUCUCCUAUUCUUCUCCUUUUCCACCUCCUCCUGUUUAUCUUCCUCUCCUUCUCUUUCACUAUCUCCUCCUUUUCUCUGCUCCCUCCUCUUCUCCUAGUUCUCUACUCCUCCUCCGCCGCCACCUCCUCCUCCUCUACCUCCGGAUUGUCAGCACCUCUUUGUCAUUCACAUCACUGCCACUUUGUCCUCGCUGGUGUCACCGUUGCUGCCUCUUCAUCCCCUCUUACCUCCCCCACCCCACCCCCUUGGGUGUAUGUGCGCGUGCAGGGCCAGGGGAGUACCAAGUACCAACUGCUACCAACCCAUUACUGAAUGUUGUUACACAUGUGUAUGGUACUAUACCUGUCUAGUUAUGGACCAGUUUUGAAACCAAACCAAGAAUUUAGUCCAUGCCUUCUGACUUCUGAUAUACUUUUAACUUACAUCAAAUCUACAAGAUGGCUAUUACAGUAACAUAGAAAUAUCAUCCAUCCAGUAGCAAUCACAAAUAGCAUAAGAAAUUAACUUUAGAUCAAAAUGAUUAAGCAGUUCCAAUGAGAUCAACCAUAGUUAUACCCACAACUCAGUUCUCUCAGAAAUUAUCUAAACAUCAAUUUCCAUAGGAACACGUACUUAUCUUAAAUUGAUAACAGUUCUCUCAUAAAUUAACUAAACAUCUAUUUCCCUAGGAAACCUUGAACUUAUAUUAAAUUGAUAACCAUGAUACAGAAGUAACAUAUGCAUAUCAAUCACAUGUUACUCAGUGUAGCCCUAUCAAUAAUUCUUUGCUCCUUGACAUCCAAAAUUUCAGAAUCUGAGUUUCUUGGCCUUCAAAUAAAUCCAAGUAUUUUUAGAUGCAUUGCCUAAAUGCAACAGUGAACUGGGUUAGGGAGACACAUAAUGAUAGUGCAUAAUUUAGGAUGCAUACCACUGAAGAUUGCCCUUUCAGAAUCCUAAGCAUCGUUGGUGGAGGUUGAUCAGAAGGAAUAGCUACUGUUACGUCAUAGAUAGCAGGAACAAAGGGGCGCAUAAUGCUUACUGCUGAAACAAAACCCUGAAGACUAAACACAUGUCAAUACAUAUAUAGAUAUUUCAAUCUAUACUAAUCAAACCACAGAGAUACAAAAGAGUUUGCUAUCACAAUAGGAGAUAAAUAUUGAGUAUUCUGCUUUUGCAUAUCACCCCAUCUUGUAUCUAAGAUAUUCAAGCAAUAGAGCUAGUUUCAAGAUCAUCAAACACAGAAAUAAAACCAACAAAAGGAAACAGAUUCUCAUUGCAACAGUAAUUUGUCAAAAACUAAAAACAACCUUGGUCCGGGGAAUGAGAACAUUCCUAGGGAUAGGAAGACCUUGUGAAGCUGCAUAUUCUUGUGCUGCUAUAAGUUUUGCUGGUGUAAAACGUGUCCCCUCAACAAACAAAGCCAGCCAAAAUGGUCUAGGGAAGUCCUUCAAAUGUUGUAAACCCAACUGCAUGUCACAGAAACUCAAAUGAAAUAAAAAAGAACAAAAUCAAGAAAAGUGAACAGAGUACAAAAGAUGCAAAUAAAUAGUACCGUAAGUAUGUUCUCAUCCUUAGCCCAGCUUCUUUCAAGAAAGAGGUACUCAGUAAACCACAUUGACCAACCAAUAACCUGCAAUGAUGGUUCUAGAGAACUUAAUAUCAGAACACAGACUAUUAUGUAAUAAGAGGAUUACUCUAGAAACUUCAAAUGGACACAUAACAAAUGACUUUGUACUUCGCUAUGAAAAAAAAAUCUAUAUUUAAUGGCCUUGUGGGUACCAAGCAAAACAGACUAAUAAUAUAAGAAAAAAGUAAAAAAAAACAGAAAAUUAGGGACACAAACCAAAUAGAUAAAAAAACAGGUCUAGAUAUAUCCAGGGGUUGUUGCUGAUGGGAAAAAUGAAACUGUAACCCUGUCAUUAGUCAGCACUCUCCCGAAGCACAAGAUUGACAAUUGACAAUAAAGUUUUUACUUAAAAAAAUGAUGCAAUUGUACUAAAGCACAGAGAUCGCUAAUGGUCAAGAAUACAGGAGUACAUUUUAAACUUCAAAGAGUAUUUUUGUUCAAUAUUGACAGCGGUGGCCAACUCAACAAAUUUAAAACUCAAUCAUAAAGUUGCUGGAGACACUUACAUUCACUUUUGUAAAGUCAAGUGAAUUAGCUUGAUACUUCAUAAAAACAUCAUUUAAGAGUGCAAGCUUUUUUUCAAAGGACUACUUAGAGCUAUAGCAAGCCCCUGUCUUUUACCAUAAACAGUAACAUGUCUUGACUGAAUUCCUUGAAAAAAUAUCCAAGAUAACUGUGGUCCAAUUUUAUAAAAACAUCAAUCUAGCUGAACAGAAUAGCAUAAAACAAAAAUAAACAACCAGAUACUUCUCAUCUUAUCACUUAUAUCAUGUUAUAUAGCUGCCACCACCGUUUCAAGGCACAAGUCUCAUUUCGCCUCUCUCUUGUGAUUUGCUUGUGGCAAGAAAGAAAGAGAAAAAAAGAUUAAAACUUUUUUGAUAUUCAAAUUAUUAAUUGUUUUCAUAUUUCAGCUGCAGGAUGAAAUAUAGUUUUUUUGGUCUUGACAAUCAGCCAAAAUGACAUCUAUACCAGAAGGCUGGUCCAGUAGAUCAAACCAAUGAUGCCUACAAAAAUUGAUUAUGUUAUAAUAAUUUGGAUAAGAAAGACAACAGCUUCAUCAUAGAUGACCUAGUCCAGAAGAACUGUUUAAAUGUGAAGAAAGAGACAAAUGCCAAACUUUGUUACUUAUAUACUCACUGGCAGAAACUUCGAUGAUUUCUUCAUCACCGCUAAAGUGCUUCCAAGGCAACCUGAGCGCUGAGGUAAGGAAUAAUUAAAAGAAAAUAUACAUGUCAAUCGACAAUGACAAACAAAAUACUUUAGUGCGUUGUUUUCAACCACAUAAAUUCAUGACCAACAAAAGCAUGACAUGCAUAAUUGGAUUAAACCUAGCCGAAUUAUGCUUAAUCUUGUGUAAUGCACAAACAGAUACAAACCUGAGAUAAAAUCCAUCCAACAAGCCAAUCAAUGUCACUUUUGUGGUUGCAAAUGACAAGUGCAUGCUCCUUACCUGUAACAUGUUUUAAGGUUAAUGACAAUGAAUAAUAUUACUACACAACAGAUCAGACCCCCCAAAAAAACAUUUUUAUCUCUGAGAACAUCCUUACUUUCCUAAUAAGAAAAAGAACAAAAAAAGAAAACAAGAUCUUACCCAUCAAUUCAUAAGUUUUAGAAUCUGCAUAUAAUUGGACCUGCAACCAUGAAAAUACAUUAUACAUGUUAAACCUUUAGAUAUAGAUAUAAGCAGCAUAAAUCUCUUGGUUAUAAACAAGUAUAAAAAUUACAUAGCACAACAAAAUUAUCAGUACUAUGUUACAUCAGUACUGUAACUAACAAACCAAGACAAGGUAACGAAAAUCUGCCCUAUCUGAGCUUCUGGACCAAGCUAAAUAGAAGGUCAUCACUUGCAUUAGUUUUCGGAAAUAGUGCAUAACAAGGUAGUCAAGUCAACUGCUUCAGUAAUCAUAACUUGCGCUAAAUUUAACUACUAUAUUUUUUGCCUCAUCAACCCAGCCUAGAUGUGAAAAUUAUAGCUGCUAAUCAGCCUUUAAAGGACCCCAAACUAUGCUGAAAUGCCGUGCUACUCAGCCUUUAUUCUUGCUUCCUCGCUCCUUCUUCCUGUCCACUUCUGUGCCUAUUAUCACUCAAGGUAGAAAGGGACAAUCCUACUAGUCAAGAUAGCAAGAGAGAGUCCCUUGCUUAAGAUGUUGAAGCAAACAUUCAUGGGGAUGACCCUAAUAUACCAAAAAAUGUAAUAAUUCACACACCAAACAAGUCAUGGUACUACCAGAGAUGGUCAUAUCGCAAACAAUAGCCAAAGAUAUCUGAAGAUUUUAAGGAAGUUUACCUUAACACCAGCCCACCAAUCGACAAGCCAGAUGAGCUGGAGCCAUAGUAAUUCAGCCACCACUCUGUUAAUCCUCCUGAAGAGACUUUUCGAGAAAGGUCGUAUUGUGAUGUAAAUUGUCGCCUGCAGGGGCAAAAAUCAAAGGUAGAAAACAAGGACGCUCGCAAAAAAUCUGAAUAUGGAAAAAAAAAUCAAAUCUUUCGAAAAAUUAACAUAGCAAUAAAAAGAAUAGAAGAAGAUUGGAAAAAUAGUGAGAAAAAUACUCAACAGUCCAAAACUACGGGGAAAUAUGCACUUGAAUCAGCCUCUAAUUCAUCUUAUAACCAAAGUACAAGGAAAUCAUAAUGCCAGACCAAACUAAAAGCCCUAACCCCAACUACGAGCCAUAGCUGUUCGAGAAAGAACUCCAUGAAUCCAUCAAAUCCAAACCACCAAACCGCACAAAAGGAAACACAAACCCUCAAACGAUAAUAUCAGGUAUCGAAAGGAAAAGUAGGCCCACCUGAAUGAGGUUCACAAUUAGCCCCGACAGGAGGAACAGAAGGCCGAGGGGCACCACCACCAACGCCGCAGCCAUUGCCAUGGCCGAGAUCCGGCGGAAGAACAACAAUCGUUUCCCCUUUUGUCAGGAACCAACCGAACGAACAAGAACGGGAUAAAACCAGGGAUUAUUUUGGGUUUCUUGCGCUAUCUUCGCUGGGAAUUCUCCCCGCCGACAUCAGGCUCCGACGCAGCCACCUCACGCAGAGAUCGGGGGGCCGUUGGAGAUUUACGAGACGACGAAAGACCAGAAGAGGAGGGGCGAGACUCCGUGUCUCAGCCGAAAGAUACAACACGAGAGUCUCGGAUUUCUAUUGGUCAGAAUUGCGGGUCCCAGGAGAGUCGACCCGUGAUGACGCAAUAAUUAUAUAUCAAUUUCACACAAUUCAACGAAGUGCUAUUAUUUGCUAAUUACAAUAUCAUUGAUAAUGGUUUAUCCAUAUAUAUACAUAUAUAUAUAAUAUUAAAUUACACGCCCUACAUACGUACAUACAUACAUAUAUAUAUAUAUGUAUAUGUAUACAUAUAUAUAUAUAUGUAUAUAUAUAUAUAUAUAUAUACAUAUAUAUAUAUAUAUAUAUAUAACGUUGGAGGGGUAUGUGUGUAAUUUAGAAAAUAAGGGAUCAACAUAAGAGGUCCGAGAGGGCGGUGAAAUAAACCUGGCGAAACCUCAAAUCGUUUCGUCUCCGCUGAAACCGAUGGAUCCAUCGCAGCAGCAACAGUGGGUGCAAUCCCACCACCACCAAGCUUGGGCCGCCGCAGCCCCCCCCACCACUUCUUCCCACGGAUACCACCAGCCGGCCACCCUCGAGGAGGUCCGUAGCCUAUGGAUCGGCGACCUCCAGUACUGGGUCGACGAGAGCUACCUCCACAACUGCUUCGCCCACACCGGGGAGGUAUCGCUCGUCCCCUCCUUCCGUGAUUUGUUUUAGCGUUUAGCCCUGUUCCCUGACUAGCUUUUUUUGGUCUUGAAGUCUCCUUAGGGUUUCCGAAGUGCCGAAUUACGGAUUGCGUGAUGGUUGCUCAGCCUCUAGUUUGCGUAUAUGUUGCCAUUCUUUGUAUUAAAUCUGGGAGUUAAAUCUCUUCCCCUCCUUUCAAGAUUUCCUUGAGGGUUUAGUCCUGACACCAAACGAGUUCCUGGUCUUGAAGUUUACUUAGGGUUUUUGAACUGUGAAAUACGAGAUUAACGCUCAAAUUUUAGGUUACUUAGCCUCUAGUUUGCUUAUAUGUUGCCAUCCUCUGUAUCGUACACGGGGAGGUAACUCUCGACCUCUCCUUUCGUAUUUUUAUUUAGAGAUUAGCCGAGCCCCCUGACAGGUUUUUGGUCUUGAAGUUUACUUAGGGUGUACGAACUGUGAAACACUAGAUUAACACUCAGAAAUUAGGUUACUUAAAUCUCUAGUUUGCUUAUAUGUUGCCAUUCUUUGUACUUGAUUAUUUUCGUCAAGGGACGUUUUUCUUGUGUACUCCAUGCGCUUAUGAUAUGUGGACUUUGUUAAUUUUGAUGCGAAAUGUUUCCACAUGUCCAAGAUUUAAAGCUGCAGUAGUUUUGAGAAACAAUGGUAAUUGUCUUUAUUUGGUUCCACAGGGUAUCCAUGUCAUUGGAUCAAAUGUUGGUCCAUCUCUUUAGCAAAACUUGUCAAUCCUUGUAGAUUCUUCUUCUGUCUAGGUGAAUUGUGACUUUUAGGCUUGCAUAAAGUCCCUCGUUUGCUUAGAUUGGCCUAGCAAUUCACUAUUCAAACCAUCUGCUUUGGAGUUAUGAUGUUAAUUGUCAAUUGAUCGUGAAUGUUUUCCUCCUUCUCGAGACAACCUUCUUUAUUUCAUCUUCAUGCUGCUGUAUUUGAUGGGGGAAACCUUGGAUAACUGGUGUCUGGUUCACUUGGCAUGGGGUUAGGUUACUCCGUUGCACACUUGUAGUUUCUUGUUAGUACCUGUAGGUUUCACUGUUAUCACUUGUUUAUGCUGCUAUUGCCUAUACUCUGUGACUUUAGGAUUCUAUGAAUGAAAUUUUUUACUUAUAAUUGGUGAAAAAUUGUCUACGUAAUUGCAGGUAGUAUCAGUAAAAAUUAUUCGCAACAAGAUUACAGGGCUUCCUGAAGGGUAUGGGUUUAUAGAGUUUGUUUCACAUCCGGCUGCUGAAAGAAUUCUGCAGACAUAUAAUGGAGCUCAAAUGCCUGGCACAGAACAGACUUUUAGGCUGAAUUGGGCCUCCUUUGGAAUUGGAGAAAGGCGCCCUGAUGCUGGACCUGACCAUUCCAUCUUUGUGGGAGAUUUAGCAUCUGAUGUGACAGAUUACUUGUUACAAGAGACAUUUCGUGCCAACUAUCCAUCAGUUAGAGGUGCCAAGGUUGUCACUGAUCCUAAUACAGGACGUUCAAAGGGUUAUGGUUUUGUUAAAUUUGCUGAUGAGAUGGAAAGAAAUCGUGCAAUGACUGAAAUGAAUGGUGUCUAUUGCUCCUCACGGCCCAUGCGAAUAAGUGCAGCCACACCUAAGAAAACUACUGGUCUCCAGCAACAGUAUCCGGCUGCAAAAGGUAAUUUUAUGUGACAUGGAAUAUUUUUUACCAUGCAAAAGCAACACUACAACACAACUCUUGGAAAGAAAAUAAGGAGUAUGCAAAGAAUUCACAACUAGUGGCAACCUGGGUAUAUAGCUGGUUGGUAUGCUUGUUAAAUUUUUAAAUGGAUGUCACUUUGUUGUGUAUGUUUUUGCUGAUUAUGUCGGUGUUUUUGUUGACUUUUCCUUCUAAUCUUGAUCUGCUAUCUUGGCCUUUCAAUCUUUUAUGUUAUGCUUAUACCGACAAGGCCAACCAGUUUUUAUGUAUACAUGUGUUUUUGGCAGCUUUAUAUCCAGCUACGACAUAUACAGUGGCACAGCUGCCACCUGUUCCACCAGACAAUGAUAUCACAAACACAACUGUAUGUAAUUUGUAUCAUCUUCAGAAUUUAUUCAUCUUCUAUACUGGAACAGUCUUUAACUUUUCUGUUUCUGUCACAGAUAUUUGUUGGUUGUUUGGACCCUAACGUCACAGAAGAGGAACUGAAACAAAUAUGUUCUCAGUUUGGUGAUAUUAUAUAUGUGAAGAUUCCAGCUGGUAAAGGAUGUGGCUUUGUGCAGUUUGUAGCUAGGUAGGCUGGAAACUUGUGAAGCAUCAUGUUGUCUUUACUGCAUUAAUUUUAACAAGAUGAUCAUCUAUCUAUUUGUUAUCGCACUAAUCUAAAUAAGUUGACCAUCGACAUUAUUUAUGUGGUAGCUUCAUUAGGUUCGAGUAUCAUAUAAUUUGGAACAUUCUUAAAAAGGGCAUUACAAUCUUAUAUCUAACUAUGACCUGAACAUUCAGAUUAUUGAAUUUUUAAAUAUUUUGGUAAGAAAAUUUACUUACUAUUAAUUGUACAAUUCUACUUGCAAUAAAGUCCCAGGAAACACAUUAGUGUCAUACUCGUGCUCAUGGUUCCUAGGUCAAGAGGUUUUAAUAUAGCUGGUACUAUUUGGGCCAAGGCCGUAUUGGUCAGUUUCAAUAAGUUUUUAGUAUAACUGGAACUUUUUGGCCACAGCUGGUACUCAUGGACUUUUUUAUAAAUAUCUUCAAAUAAUAUCAAGUCGAAACAUUUUGAAUAUUCCAAAUGGCGUAUUGUAAAUGAAAACCACACCAUCUUAGAAUACAUUUAUGUAUUGAGCAUGAAAUUGGAUGUAUGUAUUUCUUAUGAACUUUUAAAGCUUUUGUGAACAUAUUUAUGAAUGAUUAAGAGUAAUAGACUUGGUGCCAAGGUAAACCCACUAUGAUAUGGAUGACCUGGUUUUGAGUGAUUAAAGCAGUUAUCCGCUUCAUGGAUCACUUUGCUUGAAUUGGCCGUUGCUGCAACCUGAAUUGAUAGGAACCUUGUGCACUAGCGGCCUCUUUUUAUCUUGGUAACUUGGAAAACUAUCAAAAGGAUUGAGUCAAAAUACGAAGAAAAUUUAGUAUUUUGAACCUUGGUUGUGACCUUAGAGAAUUAUACCUAGUCUCUUGACAACAUACUUGAACUAAUUUGUUUCUUGCUCUACUUCCUAUUUUAUGAUUAUAGCAGUGUUACAUGGACAUUCACAUCCACCUCUACAUAUUGUAUUGAUUAUAGUAUGGUGUUAAAUUAUUUGAUAUUUCUAACACCGCCGAUGAAUAUACUUUAUGAACUUAUUUUCUCUAAUGCUUCCCAUGACAUUAUAUAUCCUAAUCUGAGUCACUUGUCUGUAUCUCAUCAUAUAAUGUCAUCUCAGUUGGUAAUGAAUUCAUAAAUUCUCUAAUGAAUCUUAAUCAUUUCACAAAUAAAAUAAAAAAUUAUUCCAUUGUUUUGUUUUAUAGGGCAUCUGCUGAGGAAGCAAUACAGAAGCUUCAUGGAUCCAUGAUUGGUCAGCAAAUCGUCAGGCUUUCAUGGGGUAGAAGUCCAGCAAGUAAGCAGGUAAAUCAUGUGGUUAUUGCUACCGACUUACGUUCCCUUUUUGUUGAGGAUAAGUGUGAUUGAACUUUUUUUUUUUGUUUUCAAAAGUUGUCAUUUAUCCUGGUCAUAAGUCAGUGAUCCCUAACUUAAGAAAUAUAGGUCUUUAGUCUAUAGUACUUGUAUAAACAACUUUACUCUAAUUCUUGUUUCAUUUUCUUGGGAAAUUGAAUGAAGCAUGCAUGAUAAUUUCAUUUGGCAGUUUGUUACUAGAUUAUCCACAAGUGUGAUUGCUUUUGUUGCAGCAUUAACAAUCAUGGUAUGCAUUGACAUCUAAAAUUUCUUAACAGGCACAUAUCUUUUAAUUUAAGGAGUGUUUUGUAAUUGACAUCAAGCUUUUUACAGAGGCAUAUUACAUCAGUGUAUGCUAGUAUUUGUCAAGGUGCUGACGAAAGAUGGCUACAAAUUCUUUAUUUUCUAGAUAAGCAUGAUAGCAUAUUUGAUGUGUAGUGAGACCUUCUCUGACAUCCUUAUGCUUUCAGUGGUUUUGAUGCCCAACAGCCAUGAGGUUGUCAGUUGGAUGUCAUAAACUAUUAAUUUCAGCCCUUAGUAUUUUGUUACUCAGCUGAUUGGCAAGGCUUAUGGUCUUCACUCCAGCUCUUUGUCUAUGGCUUCUAAUCCUCAAUAUCUUGUAAUGAAUUGAUUGACAUAACUCAUUAAUCUCAUUUGGGCUUGCACCAAACAAUGUGAGGUUGGCAACUGUGACCAUUACUUUAAGAUGAGAAGGCGACAGUAGAAAGUUGAUCAGAACUUUGCAUUUGUAAGUCAAUCUCUAUGUUAGCUUCAUAAGAGCUAAUUCCAGUUCCCUAAUUGAAAAAAUGAAAGAAACUAAAGACUUGAUAUUUUUUGGUCUAGUUUGCUGUUGUUUAAGUUGAUGAAACAUGAAGGAAACUCUCAAUUUCUGAUUUGAAAGCAUCUAAACACGGGGGAUACUGUAAUUUAUAAUGUGAUAUUCAAAUACUUAGUUAUCCAAGUCUUUUGAGGCAACUAUAUAUCAAUCAGUAUGACCAGUCAACUAAGGAAACAAUGCUCACAUCUAGAAAGGAGAGAGUUGUUAAUAGUUGAUGUGACUGCCAUGGCAGAUUGAUGUUUCUUUAGGUUUACAUCAAUCUCACAUCAGUGCUAAGGAAACAAUGCUCACAUCAGUAUGGCAAGUGCUGUAAGAUCCAUCACAAUAAGUUAAAAUGGAAAUAUUGGAAUAUUUUUCAUUUUCAUGAUUUUAAUUUCCUUAGGUCAUCAUCUUGUAGCAUCAUGCCAAAUUAUCUAAUAUUUUUCUUCCUUUUUUCUUGACAAAAUAAAAUUGCAUGUCCACCUUUUGAUAUGUUUAUUUUUCAGAGGCAAGUGUCAAAUCAUGUGUCCUUAUGUUCUUCUAUCCAAUCAUUUUGCAGGACCCGACCAUGGCAUGGAGUCAGCAAGCGGAUCCUAAUCAAUGGGCAGGUGCUUAUUAUGGUUAUGGUUAUGAUGCAUAUGCAUACGGAGCGUCUCAAGACCCGUCCUUGUAUGCAUAUGGAGCUUAUGCUGGAUAUGGUCAAUACCCUCAACAGGCAAGAUUAACCACCUUCUAUGUUCUCUUCCACUAUCUUACUUGCACAUAUACUUAUUAGUUCCAACUGCAUGGUUGGAUUCUCUUAUGGAUGUAGUUUUUCGAUAAAUUGGUUAUCUGUUAUCUCGUCAGUUUUACUGAAGUGAUAUUAGAAGAUAUUUAAUAUGCUUUUUUGGAACAUAUCAUUGUUAAUAACUCAUUCAUCUAAGUUCAGUAUCUUCUGAUUCUUAAGAUAGGAUUAAUAUUUUUAUAAUAAAUUAUUUGUUACAGUAAGUUGAUGGAUCCAUAUGCAACUUGAACAAAUUGAUAGCUCUCUCUUUCUAUCCCUCUCUCUCUCUAUUCCUUUCCAUGUCUCCCUUUUUGAUGUUAUUUAGCCGUUUGACCAUGGACCAAUAAUAGACCAUAUGGAUUAGGUAUUGGUCGGUAUUUGAUUGUUUAUCAUUUUUUUCAUAUAGGUCAGUAUACUACCCUGGUAUAACGGUACCAUGUCAAUCCAUCCGCUUUCCGAAACUGCGAUCGACCAAUAUUCAAAACCUACACAUGCCAUGAUCCUUUGUUUCAUCGUACAUGAACAAUAAUAAUAUGUCCCAUGGUACUCGAUUUUGAUGUGGUGAGGAAGUGGGUCCGACCUUUGGAAGGGCAAGGAAUAAGAGGUCUGCUGCUGCUGUGCUGCCUGUUUGGGUAUUGAUAAGAGAACAGGUAAAUGCAGGAUUAGGCACAUCAUCAUCCCAAAAGUAAUUCAACUUCAAUCCAGUAUUGUAUGUGCGGGCACGUAAUUUGCCCAAAAGAGACUCGUCGUGACUUAAAAAAGCUCUUUUAGUGGUUUUUAUCUAUCUUUUUGUGUUGUUCGUACAUCAAAAGCACGUCAUAUAAUAAUGCUUAUUCGCUUGUAUUUCUGGAUCGUGUAGCCUUCACUGCUUAACAUUUGUCUACGGUGUUGUUUCUUCCAGGUCGAAUCUGUACCUGAAAUGACACAUAUGGUUGGUGCAGUUCCAAGCAUGGAGCAGAGGGAGGAGAACUACGAUCCCUUGGCCAUACCUGACGUUGACAAGUCAGUAGUUUUUCUUUAUAAAAUUUCUAUGGCUUGGGUUACUGACUUUUUAUUAUUAUUAUUUAUUUUGAACUUCCCCACACGAUACCUGAUAGUGUUUUUUCGAUUAACUCUAGGUUGAACGCUCAAUACCUCGCAGUUCAUGGAAACGCCAUGCUGGGGAGGCAUUUGUGGUUGAAGACCUCCCUGUCUUAAGCAGAUAUUUUCUGUGUCUCUGUUGAACAGCGAGAGUUAAUUUAUGGAUCUGCUUAAAAGAGCAAAGCAAGCAUGGAGAAUGAGCACAAAGUGUGGCGCAUGAUGGUAAUCUCAUGCAGGUUCUUCUCAUCCGUACCAAGUUUCUUCUAGCUCACAUACAGACGAAGAAAUAUGUCCGAAUUGGUUGAAUGAAUUGUGCUGCUGAGUACCAUAAUGGCCUGGCCUGGCCUGUAUCUCGAAUCCUUUCUUUCCCUAUCGAAUGCUAUGCUGUGAUAUCGCAAACUUUGGUUCAACAUCUACAUGGCUUUAAGUGGCAAUUUUCAGCCCGUUGGUCAAGUUUAUUUUGCUUUUGUAUGCACACACUCUUCACUCUCUUGAGGAACAUCAUCAUAAUUUCUUAUGCUUUUGGGAUAUGCCGUCUGAGUCUGAUGAGGUCUUUAAACCUGGUUUAAUUUAUAAUAAUUUCUUAUCCCUUCGAUUAAUCUAUAAUGACUACAACAACGGUAAAGGUGAUUUAAUUUCAACCGUCUGUUCUUAUCCUGGUAUUCAUCAGACUUUGUGCCUUUCAUGCUUGUAACUACCAAAACUUCAUCUUGGGGAUUUCAGAAAACUCUCCCUUUGCAACAUUAUGACAUUUGCCAUAAGAAAGUUUUUAAUAAUUACAAUCGUAUUUUGAUACUUAUAUCAACUAUUUACUUGGGACUUUCAGCGAGAAGGCCUGUGGGAAUUAAACCAACAGCUUUGGUUCGAUUCCGAAUUGAUCAAAAAUAAUAAUAAAAACCAAUUUUCUCUUAUGAGCCAUAAACUUACUCUUCCAACAAUUAAAUAAACAACUAAUUUAAGAAUAUUUUUUUUAAAAAAAAACAAUUCUGAUUCAAAACGAAACUGAGAUCGCUUGUAAAUGCCAGUUCCAAAUUCUGCACAACAGAUUCUAGUAACGGGUCAGGCGGACCUGAGAAGGUGGCAAAUACCAUCGCAGCGUAGAGAUAUACAUGAAGUGGAGACUAGAAAUCUUCAAGUUACUAAUAAUAACACACCUUAAAGCAUUAAUGGUUCAAAUAAUCUGGAAAAUAUUUUGCCUACAACCAAAUUUAGACUUUAGAUGUCAAAUUCUGAUUGUUUACCUCAGCAUUGGAAAAUUUGGGUAAGCCUUAUGUUGAUAUUGAUUAGCAGCACGAAACCCAAUAACAGGUGAUCCACAUUUCGUAUAAAUGAUUUCUUCAAAACCAAGGUGGGGCCGAGGGAACAUAUUCCACCUUUCAGAACGGGGCAUUUGAUUCUGCAAUAUGCAUUUCUUGGGAUGCAUGGAAAUUAGAACGAGUUUUUCAAACAGCUCUUAGAUUUCCCUCAUCCAUGUAACCAAGUCAUAGCAGCGUCGUCAAGUGUCUACCUCCAUCCAGCAUCUUCCACAUCAGCACAACCUGCAAGACAAAGGGGAUAUAAGCAAUGCAGAUCAUCUUAUCACUCGAUGAUUACAAAAUUAAUGAAACCAAUAGAUGAAAGGUUAAUUGCCAGACAGAGAAAGAGAGAGAAAGAGAGCAAACAAAAAAAAAAAACAGAACAAUUGCAUUAAUGGCUAACCCAGCAAGGAUUUAACUACAGUAUACAAUCACCAAUGGAUGAAACAAAUGCCGCUAGUCUAAACUACCAGAAGUUAAUACUACUGCUGGAGCCUUACUCCCUGAGGUUCCAAAUCCUGUUUUUGUUGAUUUCAGACCAAUAAGCAAAAUUUAAUGCUCAAUACUAGCAACAUCAAAAUAUCCAUCUUCUGCAUCACCAAAUGGUUGGUUUUUUUUUUAUGUUUGAUCCCUCUUCACAAGUAUACAUUAAAUAUACUUCACAACCAACAUCAGAAGGUACUACAAGAAAGUAUCACUAUAUGUUGAGAAAUAAAGCAUUCAGGACUUGUGUUCUGCAAAAGUUAAAUUCUAAGAUCGUAACGUAAAAUUUUAAAAUCAAUAUAGCUUACAUUUAAUAAAAAGAAGAGCCCAGACUUUUGGGAAUGAAUAGUGGAACCGAGUAGCACCUCAUCUUCUUUCCAGAGUAAUAAUUUAUAAAUACUUCGACAACCAAGGAAGUUCUGAGCAAUCUUUCAAGGCAAAAGCGACAUCAUCACUGCCAUAAAAAAAAAAUAGAACAAGUAUUAUAUCAGUUUUUAAAUGUAUCAAGCCGCUUGGUGCUCUUAACCAAAUAACUCUACUACAUUUCCCAAAAGAAUGAUGCUGAAGAAAGUAGCAAGUGUAAUUUUUUUUUAUACAAAUUAAUAUAAGUCUCUGAAGCUCUAUGCUUGACCCUGGGUCAAAUCAAAGAUAAUAAGGCAGAAGGAAAUGAGAAUAUAGCUGAUAGUCUACUAUCCAAAGGUCAUAGCUGGUUGUUUCAAGGGGUAUUGGUGUCAUUACAGAAUUGUUAAAUGAUAGACGUUGGAAACUUCCCAUGAUGCACACUAAUUUCGGAAGUCCAAAACUUUAUAUACGAAGAUCAAGUGGCAGCAGUAAAACAUUUUCACGUGUAUGUACAACCAAACUAAAAUCAAUAAACAGACAAAACCUUGAGUACCAAAUUUAUGACAAUUACAUCAAUGAUUUAUAAAGUGCUUAUAACAAAGAUAUUACUGUCCUAGUUGUAUUAAAAAGAUCAUAUAAUUCUUUCUUAUAAGUUACAUUUACCGGACAUAAAACAAGCGUUGUACCGUUUACAGUCUCCUAUAAAUUUCAAGGGCAUCAGCAUCAUCUUCAUCACCAUCUUCAUCAAAUAUGUUAACUAAACGAAGACAAAAAAAUGGUAGUAGGAAAGAACAUGGAAAUGGAGGUUUAAAUAGCUGGUUUUGGAUCCGAAAUUGAUCGAUCCAAUCAGCUCCAACAUAAGAGAGCACGAAAUUUAUAAUCAGAUGAUCAUGUAGGCAUUAAAUACCAUUGAAAAACUUGAUGCUCAUCACUGUUAUUACCCUCUAUUAGUAUCCUUAGGAGUUCUUAUGUAAGAUCAUCUAAUAUUUCAAGAACUGUGUGCUUCACAAGAUAAAAAUCUGACAAUGGCAUUGUAGGAAUACUGGCAGGUGAAUUACAUGCUAGGUUUAAUUUUGCAUAAAUUCUAAAACUGUCAAUUGAGCUAACAUGCCCAAUCUUAUGAUGCCAUAAGCAAUCUUGCAGUCAACCAAUUUUCAUCCAAAAUUGCAUACAAUUUUCGCUGUAUAGAACAGACAAAGCCAUCUUCGUAGCCAGCAAGAUGACUUGCAACUUCUGUAUCAAUAUUUGGUCCAACAAGGUGAAGGAAGCUUAACUAUAAAAAAAUGAGGGUAACAUGUAGGCCAAAGACCAGCCUCCCUCAAAACUCAUUCAAUGUUCUGCAAAACAAUAUCUACAUAAUUUUAUCCUAAAAACAAACCAAAAUUUCCAAGCAACAGAAGCUAACCUUGGGAAGUUGAGCUGCAAUUUUUGCAACCUAUGCUUUGUGCCUUCCUCACAAAGUAUUAUUCUACUCUCACCAAGCUUGCAACUGCAAUAAGAUCCAGCAGAACUUGGAAUAUUAACUUUCUAGAUAAAUGAGCAGGUCCACAAAGCAAUAUGAACAAGUACCUGAUAUAGCUAGCAUAACCAUAAUACAACAACUGAAAUUAUUAGCGAUCUUCACAUCAUAGUUCCACAUUUUGUCUUCUAAUGUUCCAGAUCAGAAAAGCUUAUAUAAGCGGCCUAGCACUUGGCAUUAUUUUGCACAACUCUCUUUUCAAUGAAUGACUCAAAUAAUCAUAACUUGUAUGAGAAUCAGAUGUUAACUUAAACAGGUGCGAAAUGACAGAUAUGCAGUUCUAAAAGUGAAGAUUCAAAUAUUAACUUCUAAUAUUUUCCUACAGAAAUAAGCAGCACUUUCAUUGACAGUAUCUUUUGUAGAAUUAGCAGUCUGUUGUGGCAUGUGUUAUGUUUUCUCUAUCAUUUUCCACUUUCAAUGUUUCAAUACAAUCUUUCUGCACUAAUAGCAUGCAAAUUAUUUGGGCAAAGAUUAGGAAGCUAGCUACAUAUGCAAAAUUUUGAUUAAUCCUUACCCAACUUUCAGGAGUGUAUCCCAUCCAGGUGAUGCUUCCUUAUUGCUCGUGCACAAAGAGGCAACAGUGGUAGCCAACUGCAGCAAGGAGAUACUGUAUAAGGCUAAAGCAUAAACUGCAAGCAGAAAGAAUAGCUCAAGGCAAGUACUUAACGGUAUAAUACACAUUAGAAAGCAAAAAAAAGGAAUAUAAAGCAGAAGAUGCACGAUCUGCUUCUCUAUUAUAAGAUGAACUGCAAUUGGAUUCUAAACAUGCUUUUACAAAAGAUGGUGCACUAAAUGAAAACAUCGGAUAAAACACCUUGUGCUUGCAAACUACUGAAAGCAGUCGACUUGCUAGAUAUUAAGUUAUUAACUAGUGCUGCACAUGUGAAAAACAUACAUCUUGUUCAUCGCUCAUCGGUAUUAGCAGACCACACUGUUUAUCAAGAAGAUAUAAAGUUCUAAUACAAAUAAAGAUAUAGAAUAAAAAGUCAAAAAAUAAAUAAAUUUUCAAUGCAAUGAUCUCAUCAAUAACUAGAUCCACAAAAUUAAACCUUAUAAAAGCACCAAUAAAAAAGAGCAAACAGGAGUAAAAAUGAAUGGAAUAAUGUGCAUCUUCGUCAUAGAUCACACUCUACAUAUGAUCUGUGGAAGGUUAGUUCAAUUUAAUAGAAUAUCCAGAACUGCUACAUCAUUCACUAUCACAGGGUAACCAUGAAUAUAUCAACCGAUUUUCAUACAGAAAGACAACAUUAUUAAAAAACCAUUCACAUGAAAGAAUAAUUCAAAAAUAUUCGCUGCCACAGGGUAAACAUGGAUAUAUAACUAGUACUCUUGAGAUGUUAAGAUCAUGUUAAUUAAAAUAUAGAGGUUAUUUCAUCUUAACACAAAACAAACGGAAAAAGACAGACCUUUUCAAAGUUUGUUUCACCCAAUCCACUUCUAUAAAGUUCAUAGACCAUAGCCACCAAGAAAAUUUUGCCGAGUCUUGAAGCAGUUUUCAUUAUCUGUGAGGCGGAUAAAUAUCAGAUUUAAAAUGGUAUCAUGACUUACAGCAAUAAACUAUUUGAAUCCUGAAUAUUAUUCUUGGGCACAUUCAUGUCAAGUCAAAUUAAUAUCCACCCAUUACCAUUUAAAACCAUAGCUGUGACUAAGAGGAAAAUAUAUGUUCAAUCAUUGAAAUUUUUUACUUACUUGAAUAUGUGGUGCCUGAAACAAUUCAUGUAUGGCAGCCUCUAUAUCAGCCAUACCAACAAGCCGUUUUCCUGAAUGUAAACCCAAUGAAGCUCAAACUAAGAUAUAUGUGAAUGAUAAAUGUCUGAGAUUUUGAAAAUUGAAGUGUUAACAAAAAAACAACAAAACAUUUAAGUAUCCAAGUGGUUUCAACCAGACAAUAGACACACUAAAUAUAACCAUGUUUUGAAAAUUACAUACAAUAAAGCACUAAUUAGAUACUGACGUACGAAUUUUUUAAGAUGAGAUACUUCUUUAUUUUUUAUUUGCAGAAAAUUCAAUGCCUACUUCUCUAAGUACCUUCAAAAGAACCAUCAACAGAUUCUGAUGGCUGUUUGCACAACGGUGAUUGCUUGAAUUGAUAAUCUGCUAUUUCAGCUGCCCGCCUACAUAUCUCCAGUGCCCGUCUAGCAUCGCCUGACAUAGCUGCAACCUGAUUGUAUACGAAAUGUUAUGCAUCACAUAUAACAAAAGUGUGAAUAUUAAGCAACUGCAGAACUUAACUUGGAUGCAUUGAUAUCACUAGAUGCAUUAUUUUAGUCUAAAGCACUCACACAUUAAUGAAUAACACAUUCUUUACCUCAUUGUCAUUUGAUGCUUCGGCUUGCGUUCAUGACAUACAAAUGAAUGUAUCUCGAUGAAGUAAAAAUUAGGACUUACCCCUUUUAGGCUUAUUACUCCCAAAUCUAGAGAAAUGUUAAAGGUUAUAUGAUGGACUGGAAAAGCAUAAACAACAUCCAUCAUGAUAGCUUAGCAACUACAUAAUCUAUAAUGAAAUCGAAUAAGAUCUAUGCUUAUGAGAUCUGACAGAAGUUAUAGGUAGCGGUUGGCAUCCUAACCCAACCAUCAAGCUCCAGUGUUUUCUUACCGUCAGCCCAAACAUGGAAGGAUCAAGAUUAUUCUAGGUCAUAACAGAUGAUGUAAAGUUAGUAAGGUCGCAUAAGCAUGGAUCUUAAUCUUCCACAAAGUCACAUCAUGCUUUAUUUUUGUUCUUAAUUAGCUAAUACAUGAAUGGAAUGCAUUGUUCUAUAGUAUAAAAUGCAGCAAUCAAUGUACUGAUCAGUGUCCACAUAAUGAGUGUGCUCAAAAUUCCAUACUUCCAAUACUCUGGUUAUUGUUGAGUGCAUGCAUACUGGCAAAAAAGGAAUGUGCCUAGAAAAUGGUUGCUUGGUACAUCAAAGAACCCCAUGUCAACACCAUGCCGUCAGACAUGUGACUACUAGCAUCAGUCGUGAACCCAUAAAUCCAAGCAUUGAUUUUUAAGUAAAUUUCUGACUAAUAAGACCUCCAAAUGGUGUAUGAUGGUCAUGAGAUUACCUUCCUGGAAGCAAACUCAACAGCUUGUUCCUCAAAUGCAUCAAGGCCUUUAAGACGGCUAGAAAUGAUUUCUUGUAAUUGUUGAUAACUAUAAGGCCCAAAACAUAGCCGCUGAAUCCCCAUUCUGCUUGAAAUGCGUGGCAAUAACUUUUCAGGAAGAUCCAUAGUGUUUGCUAUUCCUGAAUAUAAUUUAUCAAAAGAAAAUAUGCAUUCAUAAAAUUAAUUGAGAUGAAAAUCAAAUAAAAGCAAAGAAAGAAGAAUGACCAUUUGAUACCUAUCACAACGAGCUUUGAUUGUGGUUUAGUAGGCCAAUCAAGAAUGUUAUACAAAACCUGUGUAAAAGAUAUAAUUUAAAGUUUUAAUACACUAUCUAUGAACCAAAUUAACUCAAAAAGAAUACUAAAAGGCUUCUUCUUCAUCCAAUAUCAAUCUUUGUGAUGUUAAGAAGAAAUAGAUACAUCAAUAGCAAGAGUUACCGAUUGGUUUCUAGUCAAAAGAAGAUCAAGCUCAUCUAUAAGCAAAACACAAGGUCGAAGCUCAUUGUUGCUGACUCCACCACCCUUGGAAAAACGUUCAUUCAAAAGAUGAAGAGCAGUUUUCCAUCCAACCCUGUAACCACUUAGUGCUUCAUAGAUUACCUGAACUUAACGGGCAUGUUUAGUUUAAUGAUCAAGAUCGUACAAUAAGAUCAAAUGGCUAGAAGAAAAGCUAAACCAUACUUUGUAAAUAUUCUCUGGAGAAGCUAGUUUCAGACCAUUAAUAUCUACAAAGGUAUAGGGCCUCACAGUUCGUGCAUCGACCUCCGACCUCAGAUUUCUCAUUGCCGCAAGUACAGACAUAGUCUGCAGUUUGAUGCAUGUCAAGUGUCAAAAAACAAUUGGACCAUCUACUUUUAGCAAACUAAACAAAAUUAACAGAAUGCGAAAGCCAUUAAGUCAAACUGCCUACCUUGCCAGUUCCUGGAACACCAUGAAUAUAAAGGCAGCGUCCUGAACAAUGAUCAUCAGAAAUAGCACCUCUGAUGAAUGCAGUUAUCUCUUCCAUUUCUCUGAUACAUAAACUCCAAGUUAUAAUUAGCCUAAAAAUGGCGUUAAAACAAGUGCAAAUUAAUCAGGUCAUGAUUACUUAGUCCUGCAAGGAAGUGAUUUGGGCAAAGUUGCUAGAAGCAACAUGGCUUUGGCCUUCUCCAAAUCAGUCUGCUUAGAGCAUCGUGCAUGUUCAGGAAUUCUUUUUAUACCAAUCUUUUGAAGACCAAAUGUCCUUCCCUUGCGUAUGUUCUGAAAGAUAAAUAUAGAGUAAAUCAUCUGAAUAGUAUCCCGAAACAGUUAGGGUAAAUUUGAAAAAAAACAUACGGCUGCUGACUCAUGUCUCCUCUGAGCAGAAUGGUUCACCCUAGCAAGUUCUUCACACUCCGAAUCUUCAUCUGUAUCAGGAUCCUUGGAAAUUUUCCAAUCUUCAUCACUUUCAACUCCUUUGUCAUUCUAACAUGAGAUAAAUAAAAGAAGCUCAAGCUUCGUACAUGCUAAUAACAGUCAAGUUUUCUCCAGAAUGUCUACUUUAUUCCAAGAUCAAGCAUACCUCAAUGGCAUCAUCAAUAUCUGUUAGACGCUUGAAGUUGUGCCAGUGAAUGUCAUACUCAUAUUCACAAUAAAAUACAUCAUCUCCCUCAUUGCUGGCUUCUUUAUAGUUGUUUGGACUCAUAACAUAGCAAUGCCGAAGGACAGACUCGAUCUGCAGACAACCAGAGUUUCAGGUCCUUAGAACAAACAAAUAGUAAUUAAUCCAUGUCAUAAGAAGAUUUAUCAUCCAAAAUACAUAUUGAAAAGAAAACAUGAUUGUUUAAAAAAUGAUAAAAUAUUAUAAAAGUUAACAUGGUGGAAUUUUUGGGGCUCAAGUGCAGAACAACUAGUGAUUUGACUAGGAUCAAGUAUAUUGAGUCCAGGUAGCAUCUCCAACUUUGUAGGACGCCAAUAUUCUUCUUGUUCUACAUUGCAAAAUUGGGCUUGAUUUGAUCGUAAUUUACUUUUGAUACUGGCAUUCAAUCACUCAUAAAUUUUGGUUUAUUAACUGGAUAUGACAUUCCACCAGAUCAUUUUGCCCCCUAGUCAAAAUCCACUAGAAAUUGAGUUGCUUUCUAAGCCAAAAAAUCAUUCUAAUAUGGCAGAAGGAAUCGAUAGAUUUAAUUAAGUAUGAUUGUUUGGGGUGGUCCUUAGAAAUCUUGUUGCAAUUCAGAAUAGAUAAGAGAUUGUGAGUCAUUUUUAGUUUGUCAAUGGAUUUCCAUUUUGGGUUAUUGAAAAAUCUCUUUUCUAGCUAGCGCUAUGUGUAUGUAUUCAUUUUAGAUUUCGUCAGGAAUAUAGAGAUGGACCCAACUGAAGGAAGCAGCAAUAGCAUUAACCAGGCAAGAUAUCAAAAGAAAGAAAGGGCAGAGGAGUAGCAUUUUAUACCUCAAUAUCACCUAAAUCAUUUGUACGGUAUAGUUCCCUCCGCAGGUUAUGUGGCUGCCUCCCAACUGCAGUCUCUUCAGGAAUUAUGUACCACCGACAUUUUAGCCAAUAGGUACCAUCUGGUUCUCUCCACAAGCUGCUCAAAUCUCACAAAAAACAGAAUGCUAUCACUUAAUUUGACAAGCACUAAAUAGCAGUUUAAACACAAGAUGGACCUUAGAAGAUAAUGCUCAAGGCAUCAAUGGUAACUUUAGAACCAACAACGAAACACAUAUGUAGUCCCCUGGUAUCAGGCACUACCUCUCGAUUCGAGCAGCCCACAAAUCACUAGAAAGAAGCUUCUCCUUGGCAGUCCUCCUCAUUUUCCUCCCCUCGGGAGGUUUCGGCAGCUCCACGUCUAUACCCAUCUUCCGCGCCUGGCAGAACCCACAGAUCCAGUCCCCCUCCGGGAUCUUCCUUAGCGGCGGUUCCAAGCACACGAGAUGGAACCCCCCCAAGCAAUCAUCGCACUCGAUCAUCACUCUCCUGCCUGUCCGGAAGCAAAUCCGGCACUCCUCCACUUCCGGGUCGUCAUCGGCGGACUCCGGCGCCUCCUUCCUCUUCACGUACACGUCGUCCCCCACCUCAAACUCUCCGCCGUCGUACACCACCUUCUUGUAGUACACCCGCCCGUUCGAAGCUCUGGAGGGCUGGGAUCGUCUCCUCCUCUUCGAUUCCGGGGUGACAGGGGAGAAAGCGGAGGGCGGCUCGGUAAGCGGCGCCUCGUCGAUCUGCAGCGACCGCUUGGCCUUGCGGGCAGAUCUGGGUAUGUCGAGGCGGCCUGCAGCCGGGCCGGGGGUGAGAGGUGAUGCGAGGCCGGAAGCGGAGCGGUGCAGGCGGAGGGAGCGGCGCGGGGUGGCGGAUUCCGGCGUCGGAGGGACGAGCGGCGAGGGUUUGGGCCUCAAGGGAGUAGAUCUGGGCUUAGGUUUUCGUGGGGUGGCGUCCAUUGCCGCCGUCGUCGAUGAGAUCGCGAGGGAGAGUGAGAGUGCGGGCCUUUUAGGGCUUUGUUUUGGCGGUCAGAUGUGAGAGGAGAAGAGGUUUCAAAACACCGUGAAAGAGAGAAACGGUUUCCCAGGUAGCCGUUUCCCGUGAUGGUUUCUGCGAUGGAGUCGUUUCGGGAGGAUGGAAAAUGAAAAGGUUCGCCAAACGUGGAAAUAACAUAUUACCUUUCCAAAUAAUGUUAGGAUCAUUCACGUAUACACACCUCAUUAACAUCUAACCAAAUUUAAUUAUAUAAAUACUUUAAAUUUUUAAUAUUAUUACUAUCAUAAUAUUUUUAUCAACUCCGAAUCCGUUCUUAGAAUGCUUACACUUGAGAAAGAAAAAGUUCUUUGAAUGCGAACCAUAGGUCAUAAAUUAAAGUCUUCGUUCCUAAAAAAAAGAUUAUACAUGAAAUAUAUUCGGUAUCUCUUAACGCUCAUAUUUCAUUUGAGUCCUCAUUCAUGCAAAGGAUUACGCGUGAAAUACAUUCAACGAUAUCUUUUAUGAUAAUUUAAUUUACUUAAUAAAAAAUACUUAUAAAGAGCUAUAAUUUAGUUUAGUUAGUUCAAUACGAAAAUAUUGAUGUUGGCUUUAUAUCCAUAAUUAGUUGAUAUCAUGUUAAUAUGGUAUGUCAAGAUGACACUUGAGCAUCUCUAGGAUACAUUGGCAAACACACUUCAUUAUAUAUAUGUUAUUGGUUACACAUGUGAAAUGUCUACUGCGAUCAAAUUAGAUAUUAAAUUUUAAUUAUAAUUGAUCAAAACUAACUAUAUACAUCAGUUCAACUUAAAUCUAGAUUGGUAAAUAUGUAUUAUUUUCUAAAAUAAAUUAAAAGGGAUAUAUAAGUGUGUGUGUGCAAAACCAUAUACAUCAUCAGUUCAACUCAAAUACAGAGAGGUAAAUAUGAUUUUUUUUAAGUUAAAGAUAUAUAUGUAUAUAUAUGUAUAUAUAUAUAUAUGUGUGUGUGUAAUAUUGAAAAAAGGAAAUUUCUUUCAUCAUGGUUGUGUAAGAUUAAGAAUACAUUUAAUUUGGUUGUCAUCCAGAAGAGUUUAUGAACAUCAGUUCAACUCAAAUACAGAGGUAAAUAUGAAGUUUUGACAGUCAGAAGCUUUGAUGAGUUGAUGAUUGGGGAAGUAAAGGCCUUGAUGAACUCCAACCAUGAAUGACCACACCUUUCUUACCAUGCUUUGACCCACCAUUGAACAUUGAUGCAAUCUAAAAGCUUAACUUGCUAAGUUCCAAGUUUGAUUUAACUAAACUCUUUUUUUCUUUAUCUUUUAUGUAAUUUUGAUGCAGCUGCUACCUCAUCAUCUUCAUCUUCUUCCUCCUCUUCUCUUUCUGUUUCUUUUGCAGCUGCUUCCCCAUCACCUUCUUCUUCUUCUUCUUCUGCUACUCUUUCUGUUUCUUUUACAGCAGUUGUUCUUUUUGUUGUAGUAACUGCUUCCUUCCUGCCAUCACCAUCUCCUACUUGUCCUCCUCCUUUCUUCUUGGCUGUGGCUGUAGCUUCUUUUGCUGCCUCCUCCUUGGUUGAAACUGGAGGAGUAGGCUGUUGUAGGUUUCCAUGAACUCAAACAGUGGUGUGCAUGUUAAACCAGAGGUUGUAACCAAAAGCAUGCAAAAGUUUCCUAAUCACACUUGAGUACUGUCCCAGUUGAAAAGCAAGAACUUAGCAAGGAUGUAUAGACUUUUUGAUCACACAUGAGUCUAAUAUUGCAUGCAUGAAUGCAUGCUAAGUAAGCCAUUCAUGAUCACUGGUGAGCCAUCUUGUCAUGGCUGCUCUCUGCCAUAUGAUCUUCCACCCAAAUGAAUUGAUAAAAGAGAAGUUGGUCUCAUCUGGUCCAAUUCCUUGGCCAAUAAGUGAAAAGUUGGUCUCUUUGGCACUGCACAAAAGUCAUAAGAUUUGAGCUCCUGACACUGUCACCAAAAAGAUAUGUUUUAACUUCACAAGGACCAACUGAAGCUACAUGUGUUUGCCAUGGUGCCAAAGCAUGGUACAAGAGGGCCAUGGGAAGUAUCUGUUGCUUUUAGCUUACUCAAGAUGCUUCUUGCACAGGGAUCAAACUUAGAGGACCAGUCAAAAAAAUUGAUGUCAUGAACACACAGUCUCACAGCCAACACUAAGCCAGAAUUAGAUGCUUAUCUGUUCUUACCAAAUUCUCUUUUUUCCUUUUGUCUUUGGGACAGAGGGCAUCACUUGAAUCUGGUAACUGCAUAUUACUUCAAUUGUUUGCCUGAGAGAGAGAGUGUGUGUCAUAUGCUAUACAAGAUUCAAUUUUAUGAAUAUUAUUAUGAUCUUAUCACUCCCUAUUUCUAGAUUGUCUCAGCUCAAAGUUGAAUUUGUUGGGAAUGUAUAUUGUAACAUAUGAACUCUGCGUAAAAUCAAUCGUCUAUUCGUAUUAUAUAAUUAAGUCAAUUCGAUCAACUUCUUGAAAGUCCUCAUGACUCGAGAGUCAAUUUAUCGACGACACAUAUCCUAAGGAGCAUAAUUCCCCGUAGUAAGUUUAUCAUAUCGUGAGCAUCACCUAUAAAACUAAUGUCAAUGGCAAAUUAGUUUGAGAUAUAAAAUUUUAGGUUCUAAAUCUUCUCUUUAUAAAGUGGUGAGAAGAAUAUUCCUAAAAUAAAUAAAAAUCCUUCCUUCCCUACAUAUGCUGACGCGAACUCUGUAUGUCAAGUUACGAUUGAUCGAAAACAUUAAUCGUAGCACAUUUUAAUCAAUAUUAGUGAAUGUAAAAAUUGAGACAUGAGUUGUGUGAUUAAUAUAGCUGAUGAAGAUCAAGAUAUGUAAAAUGAAGAAAAACUAAAAAAGGAGUACAGCAAAGAAAAUGGUAAAGCUUCAAGUAGAGUGGGCAAGAAUUUAAUAGCUGAAAUCACCACAUUCCUAAGAUUGCAAGAAACAACUUCACCAACCACUGAGGGUAAAGCCUGAGUGACACAGGACUGACUCCAUCCAUGGCUUCGAUAGAUUGUCUCAUGGAAGCAACCCAAGGGUUGGUUUUGUAUGCAUCUUUACGUAGUACGUGGACUUGGAAGCUUAGAGACUGUGUGUGUAUGUAUUCAACUAGGGAAUUAGAUUGCAUGGCAGUCAUGAAAUCCAUGCGUAGACUCCAUGCAAAGGCUUGUACUCGUACAUACUCUAUUGUCUCAUCCCCUUCCAAAUUUAUACAUGUUCAUGAUGGCUCAGAGAGAAAGAGCUGAGAGAUUAUGUGAAGUCCAAGCAAAUGGGCUUAGCUUCACAACAAAACAAUCCCCUCUCUCUCUCUCUCUCUCUCUACCAACCUAACNNNNNNNNNNNNNNNNNNNNACAACAAACAACUACCCUCCUCUCUCUCUCUCUCUCUCUUCCAACCCUAACAUGAUUACCUUGUGAGUGAAGAUAAAUGCAUCGAAAAAGACAAGAACUGGAGUCAAAGACAAGAAGUCCCACCCACUCUCUCUCUCACUCUCUCUCACGCACACACACACACACAUAUGCACGCACGCACAGACACAGAGGUUUGAGGAGACCUGUAAUGUCCAUGUCCAAACCGUUUCCUGCCCGACCAGCAACAGCAACAGUACUCGUCCCCUCUCUAUUCCCUUCUCCGAGUUCUAAGCAAAGUUCACAGCCAUCACCAUCACCAUCACUGCAUAUCUUUCCUUCUCUUUCUUUUCUUCCAUCACCUUCUGCUUAACUGUGAAUAUAUAUGCUCGCCUUCUUCCCGGUCCACAUGAAGUGAUCCACACACUGCGGCCAGAUCUGCGAUAAUGAGGAAGCCGGAUGCUCCUCCCAGUGGCAGCACCGGCGGUGGAGGUAACAAGCUGAGGAAGGGGCUGUGGUCGCCCGAGGAGGACGAGAAGCUCAUGAACUACAUGCUUAGGAACGGGCAAGGGUGUUGGAGCGACGUCGCCCGGAAUGCCGACUUGCAGAGGUGCGGCAAGAGCUGCCGGCUUCGGUGGAUCAAUUACCUGCGCCCUGAUCUCAAGCGCGGCGCUUUCUCCCUCCAGGAAGAGGAGCUCAUCGUCCACCUUCAUUCCAUUCUUGGCAAUAGGUUCUCUCUCUUCUCCGGACUGGGUUUCUUUGCGUGCAUUCGUCCCACCGGAUACUGAACCUAAUCCACUGCGUGCAGGUGGUCUCAGAUCGCUGCGCGUUUGCCUGGUCGAACUGACAACGAAAUAAAGAACUUCUGGAACUCCACCAUCAAGAAGAGGCUAAAGAACUCCAACAACAGCGGAGAUGCGGAGACCAGAGGAGGAGCCGCGAGCCUUGCACACGUAAAGGAGCAUCAACUGCAGGGCAUGUACGUGGACUCCUCCUCCUCCUCGUCGUCUUCUUCGAUGCCUGGUGGUUUGUUCAUGGCCAACCAGUAUGACCUGCUGCCCCUCCCCGAGGUCGGCUGCGGCAUGAUCAGAGUCGAAGACAGCUCCUACUUCCACGAACCACCAACCGUAGCCCAAGCCGGCAUGGAGAAUGGGUUCUAUGGGGAUGGCCAGGGAGUGAUGAUGGUGGAAGGAGGCCUCAUGGGAGGAGGAUGCGAGCUCUUUGUGCCCCCUCUCGAGAGCAGUCAAGAAGAGACCCUCAUGAACGAUGGAGGUGCAGGGAGCAUGGUGAGCAGUGCCGACAUCAGCAACAGUGGUGAUGUGAACAAGAUCCAAAGCGGAAUGCUUUGGGAGGACGAGGACAUUAGAGUGGGGGAGUGGGAGUUGGGAGACUUGAUGAAAGAUGUCUCUUUUCCUUUCCUUGAUUUCCAAGUCGAAUGAUGGGACAUUCAUUCCACAGGUAUAUCACCUCCACAACCCAUCUCUCUUUCUUCUCCUUUCCUCAACCUUACAUCUGCUUGCCUUUCUCUUGCCACUACAUAUACAGCAUGCCAAAUAUGUUUCAGAUACAAAAGAAGAAGAAAACUCGGUCAAGCUAAUUGAUUAUGCUGCUCAAUUCUUUGAAGCCUCUUAAGCUUCUUUGUUACUCCACAAAAUCCAUAUUCACCAAUAAAGUACAGGCAACGUUUGGUUCUCAUUCUCCUUCCUCACCUCUGCAGAUGAAGUUAUGUAAAUAGGUUCAUGGUGUUCAAGGGGGAUGACAAGGAAAUAUAUACAUACAUAUGAUUCUUGGUUCAUGGAAGGUGGUUUUAGGGUGUGAUUCAACAACAUUUGCAAUUGAGGAAAUCAUAUGUACCAGUGAAAGAUAGAAAUUAAAUGAAGCAAAUUUUUUUUAUUUGUUUUUUUUUGCAUAUAAUAGAGGCAUCUAUGAUUACAAGUUUCCAGAUGAAGGAAAGGAGGAUUCUAUGAAAAGCUUUGUACUACUCUUUUAUUUUAAAUGCGACAUAUGUUUCUCACCACCAUGGUUGGUAGUAAAAGUAUGUGUGGAGUGUGGGAUGAUGACUUUUCUCAUUUGCUAUGGUACAUGGACCAAAACUAAAUGAUAGAAAGGUGGUGGGGCUGUAUGAAACAUGUUCUUGGUACAGCUCUUGAUGGCAAUUGUCAUUAUCAAUUUGAAAAGCAAUCCAACCUGGUAUUUCAAUUAUCAUUAUAAGCCAAGAUCUAAUUUUUUCUUGUUUUAGUCCACACAAGGAAAAUGAAUGAUAGGAUCCUGUAAUUAUUUGUUACACUCCUAAUCCAUUCAUUAGUAUAAUAAUUUAUAAAAUAUAUAAUUUAUAUUAUUUUUAUAUAUAAUACAGAUGCUCAGUUGUUGUGUGGAACUGUGGAGUCCUUUUUUGCCUAUCCAGUGAGAAAUCACAGGCAUCAAAGUGUUGUUUUUUGUCAGACUCAUCAUCAUGUUGUUCACACACACACACACACACAAAUAUAUAUAUAUAUUUACACACACAUUACUGUCUCUAGCUUUUUAUGUUAAUACACAUCCAGGGAGUGAUAAAUCCCUGUCAAUUAAGGGUCUUAACAGCUGAAAACAAAGACAAACAUUUCAGGGUUGGAAAGGAGAGUUUGUAUACGGAAUCAAGUGCUGAUAUGGAGAUUUCUACCAAAAAAAAGGCAGAGAAUUUGAUCACAUAUCCACUCAGGCAGAGAAUGUCAAGCUGAAGUCUCUUUAGAUGGUACAAAGUACUUGAAUAAUACAAGUCUACUGAAAAUUUGUUGCAUAAGUUACUUUCUGGUAGUCAAGCCUCUUUAGGAACAAAAAUGACCGAAAAUAAAUCAGAAGUAUAUUGUAUUGUGUUAUACUUUGGAAACUCGACAUGGGCACACGACGGCCGCAAAUAGCAGACUCAAGAGAAUCUCUUGAUGGCCGCAGCAGAAGAUUGGAACUAGUAGGUCAGCCGGUUUUACUGGCUUCCGCGUUUUUCUUUCUCUCUUUGAGGAGCUUGAUCUUAUCUUUUUUCCGUUCUUGACCAAUCU
rnacentral:lncRNA from 1 species